AACGAACGCUGGCGGCAUGCCUAACACAUGCCAGUCGAACGAGACCUUCGGGUCUAUGGGCGCACGGGUGCGUAACGCGUGGGAACCUGCCCUUAGGUUCGGAAUAACUCCCCGAAAGGGGUGCUAAUACCGGAUAAUGUCUUCGGACCAAAGAUUUAUCGCCUUUGGAUGGGCCCGCGUUGGAUUAGCUAGUUGGUAGGGUAAAAGCCUACCAAGGCGACGAUCCAUAGCUGGUCUGAGAGGAUGAUCAGCCACACUGGGACUGAGACACGGCCCAGACUCCUACGGGAGGCAGCAGUGGGGAAUAUUGGACAAUGGGCGAAAGCCUGAUCCAGCAAUGCCGCGUGAGUGAUGAAGGCCUUAGGGUUGUAAAGCUCUUUUACCCGGGAUGAUAAUGACGGUACCGGGAGAAUAAGCUCCGGCUAACUCCGU
rnacentral:rRNA from 1 species